AAUAUUGGACAAUGUGGCGCAAGCCUGAUCCAGCCAUGCCGCGUGUGUGAAGAAGGNCUUCGGGUUGUAAAGCACUUUNNGUNGGGAGGAAGGGCAGCUGGUUAAUACCUNGCUGNUUUGACGUUACCCACAGAAUAAGCACCGGCUAACUUCGUGCCAGCAGCCGCGGUAAUACGNAGGGUGCAAGCGUUAAUCGGAAUUACUGGGCGUAAAGCGCGCGUAGGUGGUUGUUUAAGUCNGAUGUGAAAUCCCCGGGCUCAACCUGGGAACUGCAUUCGAAACUGGCGAGCUAGAGUAUGGUAGAGGGUGGUGGAAUUCCCUGUGUAGCAGUGAAAUGCGUAGAGAU
rnacentral:rRNA from 1 species